rnacentral:rRNA from 1 species
UGCGAAUGGCUCAUUAUAUAAGUUAUCGUUUAUUUGAUAGUACCUAACUACUUGGAUAACCGUGGUAAUUCUAGAGCUAAUACAUGCUAAAAAUCCCGACUUCGGAAGGGAUGUAUUUAUUAGAUUAAAAACCAAUGCCCUCUGGGCUCCUUGGUGAUUCAUGAUAACUCUUCGAAUCGCACGGCCUUGCGCCGGCGAUGGUUCAUUCAAAUUUCUUCCCUAUCAACUUUCGAUGUUUGGGUAUUGGCCAAACAUGGUUGCAACGGGUAACGGAGGGUUAGGGCUCGACCCCGGAGAAGGAGCCUGAGAAACGGCUACUACAUCCAAGGAAGGCAGCAGGCGCGCAAAUUACCCAAUCCCGAUUCGGGGAGGUAGUGACAAUAAAUACUGAUACAGGGCUCUUUUGGGUCUUGUAAUUGGAAUGAGUACAAUUUAAAUCUCUUAACGAGGAACAAUUGGAGGGCAAGUCUGGUGCCAGCAGCCGCGGUAAUUCCAGCUCCAAUAGCGUAUAUUAAAGUUGUUGUGGUUAAAAAGCUCGUAUUGAACCUUGGGCCUGGCUGGCCGGUCCGCCUCACCGCGUGCACUGGUCCGGCCGGGCCUUUCCCUCUGUGGAACCCCAUGCCCUUCACUGGGCGUGGCGGGGAAACAGGACGUUUACUUUGAAAAAUUAAGUGCUCCAGCAGGCCUAUGCUCGAAUACAUUAGCAUGGAAUAAUGAAUAAGACGCGUGGUCUAUUUUGUUGGUUUCCUGACGCCGUAAUGAUUAAUAAGGACAGUCCGGGCAUCAGUAUUCAAUUGUCAGUGAAAUCUGGAUUUAUUAAGACUAACUACUGCGAAAGCAUUUGCCAGGAUGGUUUUCAUUAAUCAGGAACGAAAGUUAGGGGAUCGAAGACGAUCAGAUACCGUCGUAGUCUUAACCAUAAACUAUGCCGACUAGGGAUCGGACGAUGUUAUUUUUUGACGCGUUCGGCACCUUACGAGAAAUCAAAGUGCUUGGGCUCCAGGGGGAG